rnacentral:rRNA from 1 species
AUUGAACGCUGGCGGCAGGCCUAACACAUGCAAGUCGAGCGGAGCGCCAGAGGGGGGAGGAAUGCCAAGGACUCUGCCUGGUCGUGGGGGAGAACGUCCAGAAACGGGCGCUAAUACCGAAUACUAUCGGCUGAGCCUAGGUCGGAUUGGCUAGUUGGUGGGGUAAAGGCCAACCAAGGCGACGAUCCGUAACUGGUAUGAGAGGAUGAUCAGUCACACUGGAACUGAGACACGGUCCAGACUCCUACGGGAGGCAGCAGUGGGGAAGAUUGGACAAUGGGCGAAAGCCUGAUCCAGCCAUGCCGCGUGUGUGAAGAAGGUCUUCGGAUUGUAAAGCACUUUAAGUUGGGAGGCGUUACCAACAGAAUAAGCACCGGCUAACUUCGUGCCAGCAGCCGCGGUAAUAC